UCCAUCGAAGAAACCAGAAGACCAAAAAAAAUUUCUACUCCUUCUCCCGACAAAUCUCGCGACGUUGAUGGCGUCACACACCGGUGACUUCUCCUGUCAUUUUUCCGAUGAAUCGGUGUAGCUCGUACGCUGCUACAGCCUCACCACUCUCUCUCGCUUCGACUCCUUGCCGGUAGAUCGAUUUUUCCCCAGAUCUUCAGCUCGAUCUUCAGAAAACUCCCACCAUCUAAGCAUCACCCGCUAGAACUUCAGUGAUCAAACACAUCACGUAUACUCCUUAGAACGUAACCGGCGACUCUCUAGAGCUUCCUCCGUUCUAUCAAUAAACCUGUCUCCCUUCAGCUUCUCUAUACUCGUCUCCCUUCAGCUGCCACAGCCGUUUAAGACGUUCUCUCAGCUUCUCCACCUUGAGCUAAGUACCAUGUGCCUCGCUUCCACAACGUCCCUGCAGGUAAUCUUUUGCUACUCCUAAACCUUCCCAUUAUCGCUUAAGAAAUAAUCCGGAGUUAUUAACUCAUUAUUUCUUCCUUUUGCGAGACAUCUUCGAUAAUGGAGUUACCUGCGACGUUCUUGAGUUUUUACUCGUUGAUGUUGAGGAGAUCACAGCAGAGAUCAAACUUAGGCCCGGGUUUCAUUGCUGGGCUGGGAAAGGGCUUGAAGUAUUAAAGUUGAGGCCCACUUUACAUAGUUUGCUAGGAUCUCGGUAUGUGUGUGUUGUACGGAAAUUGAUAGCUGUAACCUCAAGAUAGACGCCUAUGAAACUACACCACACCAUUGUAGGGGCGAAAUUCUGUCUUACAAGAUUGCGCAAGCAAGCCUCUAUCAAACUACAAUCAGUGAAAUGAUAAUGGGAGAAAGAUAAAUAUCCUGUAACUAUUUACAAUGGUUUAGAAAUCUAGUAAUAUUUAUAAGGGUUUAUAAAUGAUCUACAAGUGUGAAGCAUACGUAUGAUUGAUUUGCAUUUGUACUUUGGAAUAACAAUCUAAGAUAUAUUUUUUUCCUUGUUCUUUUCAAAGAAAGCAAGAUGGAUCAAUCAUAAUGCAAUUGUGAAAAGUCAUAUAGAGAACCCUUUUGUAUUCCAAAGAGUGAAUUUCAAAAGAUGGCAACAGAAGAUGUUGUGUUAUCUCACUACACUGAAUCUUGGACAGUGUUUGACUUUUGAAGGACCAGAGUCACCUGUAGAAGAUGAUAUUCCUGAUGAAAUAUUUAAAUCAUCAGAGAUAUGGACACAAAAAGAGUUUUUGUGCACAAACUAUAUUCUUAACACUUUGAACGAUUCUCUCUAUGAUGUUUAUCAUAUAUUCCAAACUUCAAAUCAGUUGUGGGAAUCAUUAAAGAAGAAAUACAAGUCUGAAGUUGCAAGCGUUAAGACGUUGACUGUGCAAAAGUUCUUAAACUUUAUGGUGAAACAAGUGGAAGAAAUUCUAAGUCAUUAUUCAUGAAAGAUAUGAGAUUGGCUGUUAUAGUUCUUGGAAUUAGAGUUAAACAAGAGUCAGAUGGUAUGAUAUUCACUUACUCAAUUUCAUUACGAGAAAGAAAAAGUUACAAUGGCAAGUCAAGACGUAUAAAACGUACUCAUGCAUGACAAUUGCUUUCUAAUGGGGUGAUAGCAUUGGAUUACAUUAGAUCAAAGGAAAAAUUAGUUGAUCCUUUGACUAAAGGUCUACCUAAAAAGCAAGUUGUAUUCAUUUCGAGGGGAAUGGGUCUCAAGCCAACACAAUGAGUCAUCACUUGAUGGAAACCUAACCUAGCAACAUUGGAGAUCCCAUGGCUAGGUUCAAUAGGCAAACUAGUUGAGGAACACUCAAGAAGUUUUAUACAUUUCUCAUUCCUAUGAAAUAAUAAUGUGUAUCCAUUGAUAAAUAAGAGUUGAAUAAUUUAUUUUUAAUAAUGCUAGUAUCUUUGGUAGAAGAGAGAUAUAGUGGACUAUCUUUAACUAAUAUUACCUAAUACUGUAGUCGGUAAGGUCAUUUUUUCUUGUAGUGUAAUAUAUCAAGCUGUUAUAGAAUAUAUAAAUGCGGACUCGAAAUAUAAAUGUCUGUCUAGUAUAUAUUCACCAACUCGGUCUAAAUAUCAUCUAAUUCUAGAACAACAAAAAAAAUUACUUAUUUAACUAGUUCGGGUAAUAUUUGAAUCCAUACGGGAAAUAUCCAAAUCCGAAUGGAUAUCUGAAGAUAACCAAACAUAAGUAUACUUAACCCUAUAUUUCUAGCUUACUUCUCUCAUUUUAUUCAAAAUAUUUAUAUUAAUGAUGCUUAUUUCUAAAAAUUAGAUAAUAUACAUAUAAUUAUGGACAAAAUUAUUUGCUACUCAAUUAAAAUAUAUAUCAAGCUCUUGUUUCUUGCAUUAAUAAAAUUUGCAUCUAAAAUUUCAAACCAACAACGAAAUUAGUGUCUUUUUAUUUUAAAAGUUUUAUCUCUAGACCUAUUAAUAGUUUAAAUUUUUAAAAAUUAGAAAAGAAGUUAAAAUAUUUUAUAUACAAAAAAACUUAAACAAUUUAUUUAUUUUUUCUUCAAAAUUUAAAUAUCCAAACCCGGCCCAAAAUUACCAAACCUGAACAUUAAAUACAUGAACCCGACUCGAAGUGUAGAAAUAUCCGAAUGGGCUUUAUGCUUUUAUACUAAAAUACCAGAUACGAACCCAAACGUGUAACCGAACGCCAACCCCUACGAUAUAUGAUCAUCAUUUGUAUCUUGCUUGAACAAUAUAAAAGUUAAACCAUUGAUCACAAAAUUUUCAAUGUGGGACUUUUACCAUUUUUAAUAUUGUAUAGUCAUUUUUAAAAAUUCGAAAUAUAACCUAUAAGAAAAAAUCUAAUUUUUUUAAUUUUGUGCUUAACGUGAUUGUUUAAUUUCUUUUAAUAGUAUAAAAUUAAACAGAAAAGAGAGGGGUUAGAAAAAUUGUUGUCAAAUAUGUAUUUUUCAUAAUAAUUAAUUAUCAUAUAUAUGUUAACCAUAUUAGGUUAUUAUGUAGAUUUUAUUUAAAGAAAGAAAAAAUAUUCUUUUGUACACUACUAAUUAAUUUGAUAGUUAUUUUAAUAAAAAUCAUAGUAUAUGUUUAUAUGGACCAACUUAUUUUUCUAACAAUUCUAAGAAUUAUUCUCGUGAUGACACGUGGCUACGAAAAUAUGUUGUAAUGCUCCAAGAUUAAUAUAUAGGGGAUUCCCUAGCAAUUUAAUUUUGGACUAACAAAAUUCUCUAUUGAUUCUCAAGCCACCACGUUAGCAAAAUUAACAUUUUACUUACGUGACAACUCAGCAUGAUACUUUUUUAAUUAAUACAAACUAAAGGUUAUAACUUUUUAAAUGAUUCUCUAUUAAUAUAUAGGGGGAUAAGUUAUCUUUUUUUUUUAGCAAAGUUUCCAAAAGUUAUGGUUGAAUCAGCCGUAGACUUAUAAGCCAUAACCCAAUUUUAGUGAAUACGAUAUUAAAGGUUUACUUCAGUUAUGUGGUAUUCAUUAAAUUUCAGUUUUUCUCCUUGUUUGCCGUUUUUACUUAUUCCUAUUUUAAGAAUUGAAAACACUCUAUAUACCUUAAUUUGACAAUGAGGUACAUAGAACAUUCAAUUAAUUAAAAAAAAAAUCAUAAACGAAGAGAAAAAAAGCAUGUAUAAAAGAGAAAAAGUAGUUUCCUUCUCUAUUAUUCUUAUGAUACCUUUGUUAAUUUUGACAGAAAAAAUAAAUGCUAAUGCUGCUAAGGAUUUCGAGCGCCGUUGUCGUGGAAUUCCACUCGAAAAUGCACCGCCGGAUAUGUGUCAUAAACCAAACCGUGAUGCUGAAUGUUUGCGUCUUUGCAAGGAGUCAGGCCCAAAAACUGGAUUUUACUUUGGUACGUGUGCUGUUAAGGACAAUAAACACUAUUGCCACUGCUACAAUAAUAUAUGCGGUCCACCACUACCACCAAUAAAAGGGCCACCACCUCGUGUGUAGAACGGAAAAUAAAUAAAUAAAUAAAUAUAUAUAUAUAUAUAUAUAUAUAUAUAUAUAUAUUUGUUUUUUUCCAAUAAUUUCUCUUUAAUACUUUUUUAAUAUGAAACUGUAAAAUAAAAUAAGAUUUUCUUAAAAACGAAAUAAUAACUAUAUAUUUAUAUUAUCUCCAUCUAUUUAUAGAUCGGUUGGAAAAUACAAUUUAUACUUUGUUGUAAAACUUUAUGUGUCCCUAUAGAUCAGCGAAAAAUAAUAUUCAUAGAAAUUUCACCUCUAUGUAUUUGCAACUAUACAGAAUCUACUCAAUUAAUUUAGAGUCUCGUAUUUUAUCUACCAUUGACAAGUUAUAGUAGGACCAUCUGAUUAACUACUUAAUGUGACAUAUUUAAUUAUUUACACUAAAUUUUAAUAAUCAAUAAAUAUAUUAAUAAUAAAUCAAUUUUAGUUAGAAAUUUGAAUUUUAUUUUUUGUUAUAACAAAAUCUGUUGAGAAAAAAUCUAACAAAAUCCUACCAAACGUUUUGUCAUUCUUUUUAAAAAUAGUGCAUUAUAAUUUCGUAAUUAGUAAUGUAAUCUUAUUAAAAUAAUGAUAAUUGAAAUUUAUCACACACAACAGAAAAUAAAAAUUCUAUGCUAUUUUAUGAAUUUUAGAAUUAAAGUCUAUAUUAUAUUAAAAUAGAUGUGCUUUAUAAAUUAAAUAUGAAACAAUAUACUAAAUUGGUAUUAACAGAUUUUUUUAAGAAAGAAAAAACAGUUUCAUUUAAAUAAAUUAUCAUUCAUCAUCAAAAUGGGUUAAAAUUCGUAAACUAUGUAAUAUUUUAUACAAAACUAAAAUUAUUGACAUUUGUUAAACUUUUAUAUCCAUGACUAUAUAUUAUCGUCUAAUUUGUUUGGAAACUCGCAACAAUAUAUUAUCUAUGCAUCAUUGAGGAAAUUUCAAUUCUACCACAAGUUUGAUACCACUUUUCAAAUUUACCAUUAAUUAAUGACUAUUUUCACAAAUACCUUACAUUUGUAAAAGGGGAAAUUUUACUUUUACACUUUGUUGGAUACCACUUUUCAACUUUACCAUAAGUCUAAGGACAUUUUCAGAAAUACCACUUUCAUUAGUGAGCAAAAGAUAAUAAUACCCUUACCUUAUCUUCUUCUCCACCAUCGGUUUCUCUCCCUCUUCCCGAGUCCCCGUCGUCUCUCUCUCACCGUCGAGUCACCGUCGUCUCUCUCUCCUUCUAGCGUCUCUCUCUCACCGUCUAGUUCCGGCGUGUCUCUCUCACCGUAGACUUCCGGCGACGAAAUCGAUUCAAAAUCUCCAAGAUGUCGACUCCUAUACGUGAUUCGCAACUUGUACCUAGGCCAUUGUCACAGUUGGAUUUGGAGAAAGUUCUUGCUACGUCGAAGAAGACGCAAGUUGCAGCAGGCGAGUAUUGUGGAUUGAGAUGGUCAAGGGAACCAGAUGAGGUGGAAGCAGCUACUUAGCUAGAUAGCAAUGAAUUGCACAUCUUUGAGAUUGCCUCUGAGGAUUUAUGAAGCUGGAACAGAACCAGUAGACAAUUCAAAAGUGAUUAUCCAAUCGGUGUCUUUGCAAUAAUGUGAAGUGUUUAUAAAAGAUUAUAAAUGUAGUUUAUAGGAGUUUAUUAAAUUAUAAAUUAGAGAUUUGUAGAGACUUAUAAAACGUUGUUUAUUCUUUGUUACAUCUUGUGGUUAAUACAGUGUUUGGAUUCCCUGAGGAAUACAAACAUUUCGUGAACCCAACACCUCCUGAUCUUGAUAACAUGGAUCUUGACGGUUCAACAAGGAUAUAAAAUGAAGAAAAGCUAAUGGGAACAAGGAUUUGUGAAUUUACAUUUUGCAACGUAUGAUAUAAGGCAAUAACACAUGAAAGAAGAUAAAAAUAAAGAGCAAAGGAGAGAUGAAAAGCAAAUAAGAGUUUAUAAAUCAUUUAUAAAAGUUUAUAAAACAAUUUGCAAAGUUUAUAAUCUUUUUAUAAAGGUUUAUAAAACAAUUAAUAAAGUCUAUAAACCAUUUAUAAUUGUUUAUAAAAAUGUUAUGAAAGUUUAUAAACAAUUUAUAAGGGAUAUGCAUACAAUUUAUAAGGUUUAUUGGUUUAUGAAUCACAUAGAAAGUCUAUGAAAUCAUUUAUAAGAGGCUAUAACAAUUUAUAAAGACUUGUAAAAUAAUAUUUAUAAGGAUAUAUAAAUAAUUAAUAAGAGUUUAUAAAUCAUUUAUAAAAUUUUAUUAAAAACAAUUUAUAAAUAUUAUAAACCUUUUAUAAAGGUUUACAAAUUAUUUGUAAGAGUCUAUAAACCAUCUAUAAAGGCUUAUAAAAAAUUUUAUAAAGUAUAUAAACAAUUUAUAAAUGUUUAUUAAAAAAUUAUAAAAGUUUAUAAAUCAUUUAUAAGGGGUAUGUAUAUAAUUUAUAAGGUUUAUAGAGGUAUAUACAGGUUUAGAAAUCAAUUGGAGAUCUUAAAUCAAUUAUAAGAGUCUAUAACCAUUUAGAAAAGCUUAUUAAACAAGUUAUAAGAGUUAAUAAAAUAAUUUUCUAGGGUUUAUAAAGGUAUGUAAAUAAUUUAUAAGAGUUUAUAAAAUAUUUAUAAAAACAAUUUAUAUGAAUAUGUUCUAAACAACCGACUUCGUCAACUCUUUAAUGUUGUUCAAUUCAGUCUUUGAAUGUGUGUGAGUUUCUCUCUACAACAUUAGUCAUGCAGUUAUUUACUAAAAGUUAAAUUUGUUCCAAUUUUUUAGACCUUUAUAAAAUAUAAAUCUGGAUUUCAGGAUAUUUUCAAAAGUACAACUCGACGAUUUAUAAGUCUUUAUAAAAAAGUUUUUAAAUAAGAGUUCAAGUAAUUUUAGGAUUUGCUUCCUUCUGUUAUCCAAAAAGCAAAUAAGGCUUAGUUGGACUUGUUAUUUGAAUAAUUCUGGUUAAGAUUAAGAUUUUCGGAUAGUGAACACUGCAUUAAUUAUAAUUCUUUAUAAAUCUGGAUUUCAGGAUAUUAUUAAAAGUACAACUUGACGAUUUAUAAGUCUCUUUUUUUUUUUUUUUUUGUGAAACUACGAUUUAUAAGUCUUUAUAAAGAAGUUUUUAAACAAGAGUUGAUCGGAUAUGUCUAUUAAAACAUAUAAAUGUGUGAACUUGAGAAGUCUUGUGAGGAAUGCUAGGCAGAAUAAGUAUAAGGAACUCGAAAAUGAUUUAUAAACGUUUAUAAACUGAUUUAUAAUGGGUUACAAGUUAAGUUUUCUAAAGUCCCUCAAAAAGACAAUUAACACAAAAAGACAUAUCUGGUGAAAGAGCCACGUCCUUCAGCAAGGGAUAUACUGUCUGAACCCUCUAUGUAGACUGUACAGAGACCAUGCUUGUGAUUAGAAUCAAACAAGCUCAUUUCAUGGUUUAGUUUUAUAAAUACUACUACUUACCUUAACUCCUGUGGAUGGAGAAGAGAAUGUGAGAAGCACCAAGAUCUUAAAUGAAGGAAGUGGAAUCAGCGGCUCGCCCUCCCUAAAAGCUCCAUCUACAAGUAUGGUUUGAGCCCUUGGAUGCGACAACAUCCUAAUUAAGAGAUGUCUGAAGAAGAUGAGAGAGAAGAAUGUAUUACCAAGCCAACUCUGCAACUUUUAUAAAGCGUUAUAAAUAUGUAAUUCUUUGAUCGCACAAACCACGUUCUAGUUCAGAGUCCCUCUUACUUCUUCAAACAGCUCACCAACCUGGUCGAUCUUCAAAAUCUGAACGCAAGCCAAUCACAUAUUAUUCCUACGCAUCAGCACUAGCUCACUUCCAAAAACAAGAUUCAAAAAUAAUAUGCUUUCGUAACUCAACAAACUCAUCUCCAUCUCCACUGCUUCUUUAGAUAUUAUACACAAAACAAGACAUAAAAAUGAAUCUCAUAAAGUACCAAACAUAACGUUACAUCAAAAUACCAACCUUCUACCUCAUAUAUUGCACAUACUAAACUUUGCUAGUCAAACUACAAAUAGUAGCAUUGUAUUACCUCAAGAAAGUGAGGUACUUGAUAUGCAUAUCACCACAUAUAUUCUCCACAGCAUCCUUUAAAUCUAAAAGCUCACAGCACACCUUUGUAAUUCCCUGCAACAUUACCAGAUCAACCAAAAGAAGAAGUAAUCAUGGAAUAAUAUUACUCUUACGUUAGUAAUUAAAUAUAUGUUAAGCUCUAUGUCUUUUGAUUGCUAACAAAUCAACAGUAAGAUUCGAAAGGACUCAAUUUAUAAGGUCUUAUAAAUUUGAGAUUUGAAAACUUCAUGAGAAAAAUUUCGUUUUCCUUUCGAGAAACAGAUCGAUUUUGAUAAACCAACCUACAAUUACAGAAAGAGACGAAAAUCACCAUCUAUUAUCCUCUUACCUUUGUUAGCGUUUCUUAGGUGUAGGGAAAGAGAUCGUCUCGUUCGUCUGAGCUUGUAGAGUCUGUCAGCUUCAUCGGAGAACUCGUCUUCGUUAGAUCUCGCCGGAAAACUCGUCGUCAGAUCUCGUCGGAAACUCUUCAGUGUUCGUAAAUCUCGCCGAGAACUCGUCUUGUUCGUUUGAGCUCAUCAGCAGCGUCGUCGGAUCUCGCCGUAUAACUAGUCAGAAAUUUUGCCGGAGAACUCCUCAGCGCCGGAGAACUCGUCAACAUCGUCUGAUUCGUCGGAUUUGAUUACAUGUAUCGUUCAUUUUGGAUCUGAGAUUUGAAGAAAUCUUUGGGGAAGAAGAGAAUAGUUUUAGGUUUAAUUAAUUAGGGGUAUAAUGGUAUUUUACCUAUUAAAAUUUUAAUGGUAAAAUUGGUUAGUGUAAAGUUGAAAAGUGGUAUUAGAAAAAUGGUAUUAGUGGCAAUUUAAAUUUUACUUUUACACUUUGUUGGAUACCACUUUUCAACUUUACCAUAAGUCUAAGGACAUUUUCAGAAAUACCACUUUCAUUAGUGAGCAAAAGAUAAUAAUACCCUUACCUUAUCUUCUUCUCCACCAUCGGUUUCUCUCCCUCUUCCCGAGUCCCCGUCGUCUCUCUCUCACCGUCGAGUCACCGUCGUCUCUCUCUCCUUCUAGCGUCUCUCUCUCACCGUCUAGUUCCGGCGUGUCUCUCUCACCGUAGACUUCCGGCGACGAAAUCGAUUCAAAAUCUCCAAGAUGUCGACUCCUAUACGUGAUUCACAACUUGUACCUAGGCCAUUGUCACAGUUGGAUUUGGAGAAAGUUCUUGCUACGUCGAAGAAGACGCAAGUUGCAGCAGGCGAGUAUUGUGGAUUGAGAUGGUCAAGGGAACCAGAUGAGGUGGAAGCAGCUACUUAGGUAUUUUUUUUUGUUCGAAGAAAGUCAACGAAGCUAGAUAGCAAUGAAUUGCACAUCUUUGAGAUUGCCUCUGAGGAUUUAUGAAGCUGGAACAGAACCAGUAGACAAUUCAAAAGUGAUUAUCCAAUCGGUGUCUUUGCAAUAAUGUGAAGUGUUUAUAAAAGAUUAUAAAUGUAGUUUAUAGGAGUUUAUUAAAUUAUAAAUUAGAGAUUUGUAGAGACUUAUAAAACGUUGUUUAUUCUUUGUUACAUCUUGUGGUUAAUACAGUGUUUGGAUUCCCUGAGGAAUACAAACAUUUCGUGAACCCAACACCUCCUGAUCUUGAUAACAUGGAUCUUGACGGUUCAACAAGGAUAUAAAAUGAAGAAAAGCUAAUGGGAACAAGGAUUUGUGAAUUUACAUUUUGCAACGUAUGAUAUAAGGCAAUAACACAUGAAAGAAGAUAAAAAUAAAGAGCAAAGGAGAGAUGAAAAGCAAAUAAGAGUUUAUAAAUCAUUUAUAAAAGUUUAUAAAACAAUUUGCAAAGUUUAUAAUCUUUUUAUAAAGGUUUAUAAAACAAUUAAUAAAGUCUAUAAACCAUUUAUAAUUGUUUAUAAAAAUGUUAUGAAAGUUUAUAAACAAUUUAUAAGGGAUAUGCAUACAAUUUAUAAGGUUUAUUGGUUUAUGAAUCACAUAGAAAGUCUAUGAAAUCAUUUAUAAGAGGCUAUAACAAUUUAUAAAGACUUGUAAAAUAAUAUUUAUAAGGAUAUAUAAAUAAUUAAUAAGAGUUUAUAAAUCAUUUAUAAAAUUUUAUUAAAAACAAUUUAUAAAUAUUAUAAACCUUUUAUAAAGGUUUACAAAUUAUUUGUAAGAGUCUAUAAACCAUCUAUAAAGGCUUAUAAAAAAUUUUAUAAAGUAUAUAAACAAUUUAUAAAUGUUUAUUAAAAAAAUUAUAAAAGUUUAUAAAUCAUUUAUAAGGGGUAUGUAUAUAAUUUAUAAGGUUUAUAGAGGUAUAUACAGGUUUAGAAAUCAAUUGGAGAUCUUAAAUCAAUUAUAAGAGUCUAUAACCAUUUAGAAAAGCUUAUUAAACAAGUUAUAAGAGUUAAUAAAAUAAUUUUCUAGGGUUUAUAAAGGUAUGUAAAUAAUUUAUAAGAGUUUAUAAAAUAUUUAUAAAAACAAUUUAUAUGAAUAUGUUCUAAACAACCGACUUCGUCAACUCUUUAAUGUUGUUCAAUUCAGUCUUUGAAUGUGUGUGAGUUUCUCUCUACAACAUUAGUCAUGCAGUUAUUUACUAAAAGUUAAAUUUGUUCCAAUUUUUUAGACCUUUAUAAAAUAUAAAUCUGGAUUUCAGGAUAUUUUCAAAAGUACAACUCGACGAUUUAUAAGUCUUUAUAAAAAAGUUUUUAAAUAAGAGUUCAAGUAAUUUUAGGAUUUGCUUCCUUCUGUUAUCCAAAAAGCAAAUAAGGCUUAGUUGGACUUGUUAUUUGAAUAAUUCUGGUUAAGAUUAAGAUUUUCGGAUAGUGAACACUGCAUUAAUUAUAAUUCUUUAUAAAUCUGGAUUUCAGGAUAUUAUUAAAAGUACAACUUGACGAUUUAUAAGUCUCUUUUUUUUUUUUUUUUUGUGAAACUACGAUUUAUAAGUCUUUAUAAAGAAGUUUUUAAACAAGAGUUGAUCGGAUAUGUCUAUUAAAACAUAUAAAUGUGUGAACUUGAGAAGUCUUGUGAGGAAUGCUAGGCAGAAUAAGUAUAAGGAACUCAAAAAUGAUUUAUAAACGUUUAUAAACUGAUUUAUAAUGGGUUACAAGUUAAGUUUUCUAAAGUCCCUCAAAAAGACAAUUAACACAAAAAGACAUAUCUGGUGAAAGAGCCACGUCCUUCAGCAAGGGAUAUACUGUCUCAACCCUCUAUGUAGACUGUACAGAGACCAUGCUUGUGAU